GACGAACGCUGGCGGCGUGCCUAACACAUGCAAGUCGAACGGAUAGGCCCUGCUUUGGGCGGGUGCUCGAGUGGCGAACGGGUGAGUAACACGUGAGUAACCUGCCCUUUAAUUUAGGAUAACUUCAGGAAACUGGGGCUAAUACCGGAUAGGAGCUCCUGCUGCAUGGUGGGCGUUGGAACGUUUCGGCGGAUGGGGAUGGACUCGGGGCUUAUCAGCUGGUUGGGGGGGGAGUGGCCUACCAAGGCUUUGACGGGUAGACGGCCUGAGAGGUGGAACGGCCACAUGGGGACUGAGAGAGGGAGCAGACUGCAACGGGAGGCAGCAGUGGGGAAUAUUGCACAAUGGGCGGAAGCCUGAUGCAGCAACGCCGCGUGCGGGAUGACGGCCUUCGGGUUGUAAACCGCUUUCGCCUGUGACGAAGCGUGAGUGACGGUAAUGGGUAAAGAAGCACCGGCUAACUACGUG
rnacentral:rRNA from 1 species